UACGUAGGGCGCAAGCGUUGUCCGGAAUUAUUGGGCGUAAAGAGCUCGUAGGCGGUCUGUCGCGUCGGCUGUGAAACCUUGGGGCUCAACCCCAAGCCUGCAGUCGAUACGGGCAGACUAGAGUGCGGUAGGGGAGACUGGAAUUCCUGGUGUAGCGGUGAAAUGCGCAGAUAUCAGGAGGAACACCGGUGGCGAAGGCGGGUCUCUGGGCCGUAACUGACGCUGAGGAGCGAAAGCGUGGGGAGCGAACAGG
rnacentral:rRNA from 1 species